GGAGGCAUGGCUCAGCCGGUAGAGCACCUGCUCCACACGCAGGGGGUCGGCGGUUCGAUUCCGUCUGCCUCCACCA
rnacentral:tRNA from 1 species